UUUCUUUUAAGUCCCUUGUUUGCUCAUUUUUCAAAACGUAACCUCACCCUCUCCUCUCGUCACCUCCUCCUUUCCCUAUGCCAUCCUCCCUUUGUAGAUACUAUGAUCCUUCCCCUCCCUCCUGGCCCACCACUGUCAUUGUCACCCUCUCCCUCGGCCACCAUCGCACUCAUCCCCAUCCUCUUUCGGUUGCCUUCACCUUCCCUUUGGCGGCGCCACCUAUUCAACCCCAUCCCUCCUUCUUCGCCACCUUUACCAUCUUCAUUGGCCUCUCCCUUGGCAACGAGAUCUGCCUCCACCUCAGAACUCCUUCCAUGUAGGCUCCCCACCAUCGCGUUGCCACUACAUUGUCGAGUCACCGCUACAUUGUCAAGCCGCCACCCUACUGCCGCGUCGAUGUUGCCCCACUUUCAUUGUCACUUGACUCCUCAUUGUUGUGUGCCUCCCUUUAUCGCGUUCCACCCUUCUUUUGAACGCUUCCCCGCUUCCACUGCCUCAUUGUUGCACUGCCCCUCAAUGUCUUGUUGCCACCACAUCCAUUACCUUCUAUUGGGUGUGUCUGUUUGUGAUAGAAGUAUCAAAUAGAAUAUGUUGUGAAUUGGUUUGCCAAAGAGGAAAGAAGGAGAUUUUACAAGGGAGACUUAGCACAGUAAUUGGUUUGCCAAAGUGGAAGGAUGGAUACAACCUUGUCAACACAACAAGUUCCAAAUGAUUUGAAUGUAGAAAUGCACCUGCCCUAUUUGGGAAGGGACGACACGCGGUAUGUGGAACUCAAAGCAUACAUGUAAAGAAUAUUGAAAUUGUUUAGCGAUGUGUUUCUUAUUUACUGUCUUCCAGAACGGGAUUGUAUCAUUUGUAUGCAAAAAGGGAAGCACUUAUAGGAAUUAUAGGAAUAUUCUCAUGUUUUGAUGUUGAAUAACUAUGGAAUGUAUGUAAA